rnacentral:lncRNA from 1 species
GAUCUUUACCCACAUGUUAAAUAAAAUAAAGAACAACCAUCAGUAAAUGACAAUAAGACAAACAAAAACAACAUUUCAAGCAUGUUAGUAUAUUGGUGAAAGAAGUUAAUCCACUGGACCAACUUUGUCUUAUUCCUUUCAUUUUUAUAUAAAUAAAUGACGUGUGGAUAUAUGCCAAUGAGAACAACCCAAUAACAAAGAUAAUUGAAACACAUCUAGCGAGCAAUAUACUGUCUAAAACGAUAGACAGAAUAAGGAAUUUCAGGCAAUUGUUGAAAAGUAUUACAAUUUGGACACGGC